CUCUGUGACUCCGUACGGGAGGCAGCAGUGGGGAAUAUUGCACAAUGGGGGAAACCCUGAUGCAGCCAUGCCGCGUGUGUGAAGAAGGCCUUCGGGUUGUAAAGCACUUUCAGUAGGGAGGAAGGUAGUGUAGUUAACACCUGCACUAUUUGACGUUACCUACAGAAGAAGCACCGGCUAACUCCGUGCCAGCAGCCGCGGUAAUACGGAGGGUGCGAGCGUUAAUCGGAAUUACUGGGCGUAAAGCGCAUGCAGGCGGCCUGUUAAGUCAGAUGUGAAAGCCCCGGGGCUUAACCUCGGAAUUGCAUUUGAAACUGGCAGGCUAGAGUCUUGUAGAGGGGGUAGAAUUUCAGGUGUAGCGGUGAAAUGCGUAGAGAUCUGAAGGAAUACCAGUGGCGAAGGCGGCCCCCUGGACAAAGACUGACGCUCAGAUGCGAAAGCGUGGGGAGCAAACAGGAUUAGAUACCCUGGUAG
rnacentral:rRNA from 1 species